UAUAGUAUUCUUUAUUAAGUGUUAAAGAACAAAAGUAAUAACUAACAAAGUCGUAAUACAACAUAUAAAAUAUCGAUGAGUGAGAGUUAUACGACCGCAAACGACUGAAAACCAACUUUUUAAAUAUCAUAGAUUUUCAUAUGAACGUGGGGUAUAUUUACUGUAACAAUAGUCAUAAUGAUUUUAUACAACCCGACAGUAAAACUUAUACAUAUCUGUUAAUGUCUCGAUAAGAAGGGGUAGUUUUGGUAAUGGAUGUUUCAUCUUUUUCUUUUUCUUAUUAUCGUAUUGCAAAAUGCUUAAUAUUUAUUUCUAUAUAUUGUUGAAAGUAAUGUCACAUUAUAAAAAUAUUCUUGUUUCACUAUUUAAUCUUGAUAUUACGCCCGACAGCAAUUUUAUUAAAAUUUUCCGCUUCUUUCUAAAAUUGAAAAUUGAAAAAAUUGCUUUGUAACAUUAAAAACCUUCGAGAUAUAUACUAAGUAUUAUUAUUAAGCUGUCGCUAAUUUUAACAUUUAUUCUGGCCACGGUUUGCUGUUGCGUUUACAUUGGCCUUGGUCCAAAACAGUGAAUGCCAAUCGUUAGAAAAUAAUUUGCGAUCGUUACUAAGGUCAAUGAAGGCUGAAGUUAGUUUGUAAGUUAAUCGGUCAGUCAGUCAGUCAGUCGUAACAUCGGCGUUUGAAAAUAAGCAAAUUUGUGAUACUUCAACGUGCAUAGAGUAUUCCAUACCCUCGUGAAAUUGUAAAUUUUAAGCCAGUUGUACAUUAAAAACUGCAAAAUGGCUACAGUUGGCAAUGUAUUAAAAAAGAGGGUAUGCAUUGUAGGGAGUGGCAAUUGGGGCUCAGCUAUUGCAAAAAUCGUGGGUGCCAAUGCAGUCAAAUAUAACAACAAAUUUGAAACACGCGUGACAAUGUAUGUUUACGAAGAAAUAGUGAACAAUCAAAAGUUAACUGACAUCAUAAAUCAGUUACAUGAGAACGUGAAAUAUCUUCCUGGGCACAAAUUGCCAGAAAAUAUUGUUGCCGUUCCAGACAUCGUCGAAGCUGCAAAAGAUGCAGAUAUUCUUAUUUUCGUAAUACCUCAUCAAUUCAUACGAACAUUGUGUGCAACAUUGCUCGAUAAAAUUAAACCAACCGCAGUUGGUGUAUCAUUGAUCAAGGGUUUUGAUCGAGGAGACGGAACGAAUAUUGAGCUAAUCUCUAAAAUCAUUGAAAAGAACUUGAAAAUCCAAUGUUACGUUUUAAUGGGAGCAAAUUUAGCUAAUGAAGUUGCCGAGGAGAAGUUCUGUGAAACGACUAUUGGUUGUAGGGACAAACGUUUGGCACCAUUGCUAAGGGACCUUAUACAAACUCCCAAUUUCAGAGUUGUGGUCGUCGAAGACUGCGAGGCAGUUGAAGUAUGUGGCGCCUUAAAGAAUAUUGUGGCAUGCGCCGCUGGUUUUGUGGAUGGUAUAGGACUUGGUGACAACACGAAGGCAGCGGUAAUCAGAUUAGGAUUAAUGGAAAUGGUCAAGUUCGUAGACACAUUUUACAGUGGCUCGAAACUUUCAACAUUCUUUGAAAGUUGCGGUGUAGCCGAUUUGAUAACUACCUGCUAUGGUGGAAGAAAUCGCAGAGUUUGCGAACAAUACGUUAAAAGUGGCAAAAGCAUCAGACAGCUGGAAGAAGAACUUUUAGGUGGUCAAAAAUUGCAAGGUCCAGCUACAGCUGAUGAAGUUCAUGGAAUGUUGAAAGCCAAAAAUUUAUUAGAAAAAUUCCCAUUAUUCACUGCUGUGCAUCGUAUCUGCACUGAGCAGAUAAGACCAGCAGAUUUAAUUGACCAAAUUCGUAAUCAUCCUGAACAUGUGUUCGCGCCAAAAACGAUGUACAUGUACUGAGUGCUGUCCCCAUAUUUCUUUUUCUUUUUUUUUAUAUACUUUUGUAUCGAGAAAGUAUUGUUCUUAACAAAUUGUAAUUAACAAGUGCGAGAACUCAUUUAUAUCGGGAUAAGUUGCUGUAUGAUACAAAAAUAUAGAAGGUACAGUGUCAACUUACUAACGCAUUCAAGAAUAACAUUCCAUAUAAGAUGAAGGUCGAAGGUGCGGAGUAACUGGGGACUAAAAGUUAUAAACAUCUCGACAAUUC